AGUGCUCAGACAGAGCGCUAACAGCGCUGCUGCGGCUGCCGGCUAUGGGACUCGGGAGAAGGGACCCACACCCGGACACCAGAAAGGUAUGGGUGGUGGCGGUGGGAGGUCUACCUGUGAGAUUCUGGCUACUGGUUUGUGGAAGGAUCAUUAACCAUUUCCAUGUUUCCUGGACACCAGCAUCAGUCAGUGUCCCCAAUCCUGCUCAGAAAACUCUACUUCACUGUGACAGUGGAGAAAGGAGAGAAUCUGGUACAGUCCUGGGCUGAUUGUUUCACUGACACUCUAUUUUCACUUAAUUAAAUUAAUCUGGGAUGGAUCUGUAUACGCAAGUAACCCACGACUGACGGCACCUGAAGGACAAUGCAACUGGAACCAUUUAUUUUUCUUAUACAGUUACUAUUCUGUUCUGUUUAUUAGGAUGACUUACUCCAGUUGCUCACGUGCAUACAUCUUAAUUAACAGAGGUAGAUAAAGGGAUUUAGAAUUCGAAAUUUGCCAGAAGUUUCAAGAUUUCCAUACGUGAAGCAAUUCUAAUCCAGAUUUGGCAACAAUUUGGCAAAUAAUGAAUGACAACUGGAGAAUUGAGCCAAUCACAUUGCAGAGAGUGCGAAGAAGCUACAUUUAAUUGGUGCAAGGAACAGGAAUGUUAUGGGUGUAAUAGAUAGAUAGAUAGAUAGAUAGAUAGAUAGAUAGACAGACAGAUACACACACACAAGAGUAUUUAAUUUAUAUGUACUAGUUACAAACCCAUCAAAAUGACGGCACAACAUAACAGUAAUGUCCGCACCGGCGGCUGUGCGCGCCGGAGUGGAGCAACACUUGAAUUGCUCCAUCGGGCGCCACCUAGUGGACAUCAGCGCGCAAAACACUUGAACUCCCCCAUAGAGGUGAGGAGCAGCAUUAGCCUUUUAUAUGUAUGUAUAAAUAUAGGUUUUACAUUUGUAUAAUAUAUAUAUAUAAUCUAUCUACACACACUGCUCAAAAAAA